rnacentral:rRNA from 1 species
UACGGGGGGGGCAAGCGUUGUUCGGAAUUACUGGGCGUAAAGGGCUCGUAGGUGGCCAACUAAGUCAGACGUGAAAUCCCUCGGCUUAACCGAGGAACUGCGUCCGAUACUGAAAGGCUUGAAUCCGGGAGAGGGAUGUGGAAUUCCAGGUGUAGCGGUGAAAUGCGUAGAUAUCUGGAGGAACACCGGUGGCGAAGGCGGGUCUCUGGGCCGAUACUGACGCUGAGGAGCGAAAGCGUGGGGAGCGAACAGG